rnacentral:lncRNA from 10 species
GCAGAGCCAUAUGCUGGGCUCUGGCCACAGGCUGAGAGAGGAAGUGACUCCAAGGCUGAGGGAAUGAGCCCAGGAAGUUGACCUUUGAAGCACUCUCCUGCUCUUGGGGCCAUGUCAUCAGGAAGAAACUCCAGGCUGAAAACACAACUGCAAGGCCAACAGGCAGGGGAGCAGCUUUCUCAGGACACCUGAGGUCCUGCCCCACCAGGCUCUGGUCUUUACACACCAUCUCUCACUGUCCUCUAGCCCCAACUGCACAUUGCCUUCCUCCUUCCUGAGCUCAUGCUUGCCCCUCCCUCGGCAUCUCCCUAGCCCCAGCCUGAAGGCUGACCUCCUCCAGAAAGCCUCUCCCUCACCACGAGGCCAGAAAGAGUCUGUCCUGUCUCUAGCUUCUGAGUUUCUUAGUCCCAACGACUGUCCCUGCUCCACUGACACCUUCCAUACACAGCUUUGUGAGCUGUGCGCAUCUGUGGGUACCAGAGGGUAAGUUCGAGGGCCAGCUGACGCCUACUGUCUCUACUGUCUCACAGAUCUGCAUUGGGUUUCCUUGGUCCCAAUCCCCCACAGACACACACACAUGUACACACUCACACACACAACGCUGGACCAAUAGAGAGAAC